ACAAAAGGCCUCGUAUGAUAAACUUAUCCAGUACUAACUUCUAACUUACAAUACAUUCAUUCAGUAGCCCACCAAUAUGCAAUAACAAUUGAGACAACCAGGCGGUUAUUUAUAAAAUAUUGUCCUUCUGGCAGGCUCUUCUUAUUAGUGAAAGAAACCCGAAAGCCCAUUGGGAAACUCCAACUCCCAUUGUCAUUGUGACACAGCACUCCACAGCACACAAAUGAACACUGCACACUGCACACAACGGAAUUGCAUUUUAUGCCUCACCCGUGCAAGGGGACAGCCCUCAGUGGCGCCCCAAGGGGAGCAGUGCGGUGGUACGAGACCAUGCUCAGGGUACCUCAGUCAUGGAGGAGGAUGGGGGAGAGCACUGGUUGAUUACUCCCCCCACCAACCUGGCGGGUCGGGAGUCGAACCGGCAACCUCUGGGAUGCAAGUCUGACCCCCUAACCGCUCACCCAUGACUGCCCUGAGGGCAGAAGGAUGACCGAAAAAUGGCGAAUAGGUAAACUGACCCAGAGAAGAUCUGGACAAACAAACCACUGUGAGCAAUAGAUGCAUGUGUAAUAAAUGG